AGGACGAACGCUGGCGGCGUGCUUAACACAUGCAAGUCGAGCGGAAAGGCCCUUCGGGGUACUCGAGCGGCGAACGGGUGAGUAACACGUGAGUAAUCUGCCUUCAGCUCUGGGAUAGCUCCGGGAAAACCGGGAUUAAUACCGGAUAUGACCACUUCGGACAUCUGUUGUGGUGGAAAGUUUUUCGGCUGGAGAUGAGCUCGCGGCCUAUCAGCUUGUUGGUGGGGUAAAGGCCUACCAAGGCGACGACGGGUAGCCGGCCUGAGAGGGCGACCGGCCACACUGAGACUGAGACACGGCCCAGACUCCUACGGGAGGCAGCAGUGGGGAAUAUUGCGCAAUGGGCGGAAGCCUGACGCAGCGACGCCGCGUGGGGGAUGAAGGCCUUCGGGUUGUAAACCCCUUUCAGCAGGGACGAAGCGCAAGUGACGGUACCUGCAGAAGAAGCGCCGGCUAACUACGUGCCAGCAGCCGC
rnacentral:rRNA from 1 species